GGAAGUGAAAAGGAAGCAAACACCUUCUUCAGUAGGCAGCAGGAGAGAGAGAGAAAGAAAGCACCAUAUGUUUAUCAAACAACCAGGUCUCAUGAAAAUUCUAUCAGGAGAAAAGCAAGGGGAAAGUCCACUCCCAUGACUCAAACACCUAAAGAAGUUUGAUAAUAAUUUAAGCUUAUUGAAGACAUUACAUCAAGACAUUGAGGCUGAUAUGUUGUUGAGGAGAGUGUGGAUAUUAAAACACGCCCCCCCCACACACAUUAUGCAGGGACUUUAGUUGGUAGUUGAGAGAGAAAGAAGAAAUAGAAUAUGAGUUAGGAGUAAGAGGAAACAACAGAUGCUAUAUUUCUCUGCCUGUCAGGAAAGCCAUGAUGCAUAACUGUGAAAAAUAUUUUCUCUAUCUUUUUCCUCUUCCCAUUACACUGUUGUGAAGAACGCUGAGAAAAUAGAUUGGGUGAGAUAGUACACAAGAGGAAUCUGGAAUUGCAACCGAUGAAGAUGGCCUGGACACAGAUUUACAUUACAGUUUCUGAAUUCCUGGGAGCUGUCGUAUUGUUCACCACAGGAACUCAUUGGUGUAUCCUUACCCAUGUAUAAUCUUCUUCUAUCUAAAACAUAGACCUUGAACUCCACUUCAUCUAAUACAAGGUAAAUGGUCAUUUUUUGUUAUUAGUUUAUGAAUGUGAAAAGAGAAAAUUAACAUCUGAGUAUAUUAUCUUAAUAACACCUAUAAAAAUAUAUAACAUUCGGUAAUACUAACAUAUAUUUCUAUCUGCAUUUUGAAAAGAAAUACUAAAUAUCUAAGAAGGGAAUAACAUUUUUCUAAGUGCCCCAUUAUAUCAAAAUACAUUUGAGCCUUCAUCAAAUCAAUUAAGUAUCUGACAUGAAAUGAAAAUGCCACAAUCAAGUAGAAAUUUAACUCAGAGAAGAAAGGUCAAGUCUUUUAGAUAAGCAAAACUAUUAAAUAAUUUUUCCUGAACUUGUAUCAGGAACAUAAAAAACUUUUAGAAAAAAGAAAUUGAGGUAUAUUAGUUUGCAGGAGAUAGUAAUAGCAAAAUGUCCUUAAGAAAAUGUUAAUGAAAUGAUUAUAUAAAUUCUAAGACAAAGAAAGAUAUUUAUUACCACAACCUGUCUUUGGUUUGUUCAUAUAAUAUGUGAAUAAUUUUGUGUAAGUAGGGACUAUUAGCCAGUAUUUAUGAUUGUUCUAUUCUUCUGGGAAUAGAAGCAAUAUAAAACUGACAUCAACUGCUGCUUAUCUCCAAUUAUAUAAAAUGUUGUAGCAUUGUUUCAGUGUGUACAUGUGUCGUAAAUAUGGAUAGAAAGAUCAUAUUGCACUUUUAUUCCAAACGAUGAAAUAAAAUUUAAGUCAAAAUGCAUAUUUUAAAGAGAUAGUUCUUUACUUUUAAUAAAAUUGUUUGAGUUAUUAUGCUUACUAGAGUUUCAUUUCUGUACUUUAUGCUCUGUUUUUAAGAGUUGUGGUAGAAACUAAAAAUCAGUCAAUUUCUUUUAUAGCAUGUGCCAUCCAAACAAGAUUUCAAAAAGAUCAGGCAUGUGAGUUCCAAUGAAAAAGUUGUGUCUUCACAUAUAUAUGUGAAGCCAUAUAUAAAG
rnacentral:lncRNA from 10 species